GAUGAACGCUGGCGGCGUGCUUAACACAUGCAAGUCGAACGGAAAGGCCCAAGCUUGCUUGGGUACUCGAGUGGCGAACGGGUGAGUAACACGUGGGUGAUCUGCCCCGCACUUCGGGAUAAGCCUGGGAAACUGGGUCUAAUACCUGAUAGGACAGUGGUUUGGAUGCCAUUGUGGAAAGUUUUUUCGGUGUGGGAUGAGCUCGCGGCCUAUCCGCUUGUUGGUGGGGUAAUGGCCUACCAAGGCGUCGACGGGUAGCCGGCCUGAGAGGGUGUACGGCCACAUUGGGACUGAGAGACGGCACAGACUGCUAAGGGAGGCAGAAGGGGGGAAGAUUGCACAAUGGGCGCAAGCCUGAUGAAGCGACGCCGCGGGGGGGAUGACGGCCUUCGGGUUGAAAACUCCUUUCGAGAGGGACGAAGCGUUAUGUGACGGUACCUAGAGAAGAAGCACCGGCUAACUACGUG
rnacentral:rRNA from 1 species